rnacentral:rRNA from 1 species
UACGUAGGUGGCAAGCGUUGUCCGGAUUUACUGGGCGUAAAGGGCUUGUAGGCGGUUCGUUAAGUCCGGUGUGAAAUCUCCCGGCCCAACCGGGAUAGGUCACUGGAUACUGGCGAACUAGAGGGGGGUAGAGGAAAGCAGAAUUCCUGGUGUAGCGGUGAAAUGCGUAGAUAUAGGAAGGAACACCAGUGGCGAAGGCGACUACCUGGCCAAAUACUGACGCUGAGGUGCGAAAGCGUGGGGAGCAAACAGGAUUAGAAACCCCUGUAGU